rnacentral:rRNA from 1 species
AGAGUUUGAUCAUGGCUCAGGAUGAACGCUAGCUACAGGCUUAACACAUGCAAGUCGAGGGGAAACGAUAUUGGAAGCUUGCUUCCGAUAGGCGUCGACCGGCGUACGGGUGAGUAACGCGUAUCCAACCUGCCCACCACUUGGGGAUAACCUUGCGAAAAUAAGACUAAUACCCAAUGAUAUCUCUAGAAGACAUCUGAAAGAGAUUAAAGAUUCAUCGGUGAUGGAUGGGGAUGCGUCUGAUUAGCUUGUUGGCGGGGUAACGGCCCACCAAGGCAACGAUCAGUAGGGGUUCUGAGAGGAAGGUCCCCCACAUUGGAACUGAGACACGGUCCAAACUCCUACGGGAGGCAGCA